GCAUAAUCAUUAGUCUUUUAAUUUAGGACUGGAAUGAAUGGUUUGACUAAAGUAAAUUUGUCUCUAAAGAAUAUUUUGAAUUUUAUUUUUUAGUAAAAAAGCUAAAAUAANUCCUAAGGGACGAGAAGACCCUAUCAAGUUUAACANGUANGAANNUGUUGNUUUUCAAUCCNAAUNAUUAAUAUUGNUUUAACUGGGGCAGUUAUUAAUAUAAAUAUUAAUUUUUUAUUGUNNAGUGUUUGACUUUGAAUUAUCUUNGAAUUUCAAAAUUAAAAAUAAAUUACUGUAGGGAUAACAGCUUAAUUUCUUUAAAGAGUUCUUAUCAUCAAAGAAGUUUGUGACCUCGAUGUUGGAUUAAGAUUCCUUAUCGGCGCAGAAGUUUUUUAAGGGAGUCUGUUCGACUCUUAAAUUCUUCCAUGAUCUGA
rnacentral:rRNA from 1 species